rnacentral:rRNA from 1 species
UACGAAGGGGGCUAGCGUUGUUCGGAAUACUGGCGUAAGCGUGCGCAGGCGGUGAUGUAAGACAGUUGUGAAAUCCCCGGGCUCAACCUGGGAACUGCAUCUGUGACUGCAUCGCUGGAGUGCGGCAGAGGGGGAUGGAAUUCCGCGUGUAGCAGUGAAAUGCGCAGAUAUCAGGAGGAACACCCGUGGCGAAAGCGGCUCUCUGGGACGGUACUGACGCUGAGACGCGAAAGCGUGGGGAGCAAACAGG